GUGUCAGCAGCCGCGGUAAUACGAAGGGGGCUAGCGUUGUUCGGAUUUACUGGGCGUAAAGCGCACGUAGGCGGAUUGUUAAGUCAGAGGUGAAAUCCUGGAGCUCAACUCCAGAACUGCCUUUGAUACUGGCAAUCUCGAGUCCGGAAGAGGUGAGUGGAACUCCUAGUGUAGAGGUGGAAUUCGUAGAUAUUAGGAAGAACACCAGUGGCGAAGGCGGCUCACUGGUCCGGUACUGACGCUGAGGUGCGAAAGCGUGGGGAGCAAACAGGAUUAGAUACCCCUGUAGUCC
rnacentral:rRNA from 1 species